CUUCACUGUUGCGGUCAAUUGUUUUUGUGUACAUAUCUCCGAGCCUAGGCUGUCUACAGAGACACAUUUUUUUGACGGCCUGCUUAUGGGGCAGGCAGCUAGCGGAUCGUUAGGAAAGAUUAGAUGAAUGUGUU